ACUCCUACGGGAGGCAGCAGUGGGGAAUUUUGGACAAUGGGGGAAACCCUGAUCCAGCAAUGCCGCGUGUGUGAAGAAGGCCUUCGGGUUGUAAAGCACUUUUGUCCGGAAAGAAAUCGCUGUGGUUAAUACCCGGGCGGAUGACGUACC
rnacentral:rRNA from 1 species